rnacentral:rRNA from 1 species
UACGUAGGGGGCAAGCGUUGUCCGGAAUCAUUGGGCGUAAAGCGCGUGUAGGCGGUUCGGUAAGUCUGCUGUGAAAGUCCAGGGCUCAACCCUGGGAUGCCGGUGGAUACUGUCGAACUAGAGUACGGAAGAGGCGAGUGGAAUUCCCGGUGUAGCGGUGAAAUGCGCAGAUAUCGGGAGGAACACCAAUUGCGAAGGCAGCUCGCUGGGACGUCACUGACGCUGAGACGCGAAAGCGUGGGGAGCAACAGGG